GUUUCAGAGGUUGUCAACGAUGAUGACCGUGAAGUAUGCGAUGUAGAACUGGAUGAAAGCCCUGAAAGUCAGAUUCAAGAAUGUUAUGAGAUGUGGCCUGACGAAGAUGUUCAAACUGCAAUACCGAAAACACAUUCUUCAAGCAACACAGUAGCAUCUCCUGUGACACUUGAUGUGUUUAUGCCAAACAAGUCGCCGCAAGUCUCCAAAAAACGAAAAUCUGAUGCUGCUCAAGACUUAUUUGAGGAGGGAAACAGAGAUGCCUUCUUCCAGAAACGAAAACUGGAGAUGGCAGAAGAACUACAUUUAAAAAAGUUAGCAUUGAUUGAAAAGGAGUUGCAUAUAAAAUACAUUGAAAUCAAAAUAAAAGAAGCAGAGUUGCAGCUGUUGAAACAACAGCUAUGACUCACCUUGUAAAUAAUUUUUUUCCAUUGUGCAAAUAAAUUUUUAUGAAUUUUUU